UACGUAGGGUGCAAGCGUUGUCCGGAAUUAUUGGGCGUAAAGAGCUCGUAGGCGGUCUGUCACGUCGGCUGUGAAAACCUGGGGCUCAACUCCGGGCCUGCAGCCGAUACGGGCAGACUAGAGUUCGGCAGGGGAGACUGGAAUUCCUGGUGUAGCGGUGAAAUGCGCAGAUAUCAGGAGGAACACCGGUGGCGAAGGCGGGUCUCUGGGCAGUAACUGACGCUGAGAAGCGAAAGCGUGGGUAGCGAACAGG
rnacentral:rRNA from 1 species